rnacentral:rRNA from 1 species
CAGCGCCGCGGUAAUACGGAGGGUGCAAGCGUUAAUCGGAAUUACUGGGCGUAAAGCGUGCGUAGGCGGUUCGUUAAGUCUGUUGUGAAAGCCCCGGGCUCAACCUGGGAAUGGCAAUGGAUACUGGCGAGCUAGAGUGUGUCAGAGGAUGGUGGAAUUCCCGGUGUAGCGGUGAAAUGCGUAGAGAUGUGGAGGAACACCAGUGGCGAAGGCGACUCUCUGGUCUGUAACUGACGCUGAGGAGCGAAAGCGUGGGGAGCGAACAGGAUUAGAUACCCCCGUAGUCCCUGUCUCUUAUACC